CAGGACUGGGCCUGUGGAAAUCGGUAUAACAGAUACCAGUUGCUGAUCAUCGCUCGACACACAGGCCUUCCAGCUCCAUUGGGUAGAAAAGAAAAGAAGCUUCCCAGGGCAUGAGACCUCUGCCAGCAGGUGUUACCCAGCCUCAUGGCCCUUCAUCACUCCCAGAAACAAGAGGGCGGUCCACACAAGGAACAGCGGGUUUCUUCCAAGCUCAGCACAUCAAUGGCCUCACCUUCUCUCCGCUCUAGCCUCUCUGUUCUUCCUGUCUUCAAAAGCAAGCGCUGCCACUUUCAAGAAGAGCAGGUUUCAUUCAAAGACAAGCUUUGCUUCCCAGUUUAAUCAACAGAUUCAAUAAAGUUGCUCCAGUCGGCACGGGCUGUACCAUGCUGAGUGUUCCAAGUCUUUCCACUAGAUGUCGCUGUGGAUCCCUGUUUGACUGGCUUCAUCGAGCAGCUGAGGCAUCACUGAGCGUCCCAGUGUCCAAAGGAAACAACACUUGUCUCUGUCUGACAUUGUAUCCAGUGUGUGCAAUGUCCUAGAGAUUUGAAGAGAGACUGAAUAUCUGUGGCUCCACAUGCCUAUUCUCCAAUGCCAACAAGAUGCUUUGAUUUCUGAUUCCUGAUGCUUUGAUUUUCUGAUCUCUGUCCAAGCGAUCUUCUACUUUCGUUUUUCUGUGUGUAAUAUUAUUCACUAGAGAUG